GAGUUUGAUCCUGGCUCAGGAUGAACGCUGGCGGCGUGCCUAACACAUGCAAGUCGAGCGAAGCAAUUAAGGGGAAGUUUUCGGAUGGAAUCUUAAAUGACUGAGCGGCGGACGGGUGAGUAACGCGUGGGCAACCUGCCUUAUACAGGGGGAUAACAGUUAGAAAUGACUGCUAAUACCGCAUAAGCGCACAGGAACGCAUGUUCCGGUGUGAAAAACUCCGGUGGUAUAAGAUGGGCCCGCGUCUGAUUAGGUAGUUGGUGGGGCAGCGGCCUACCAAGCCGACGAUCAGUAGCCGACCUGAGAGGGUGACCGGCCACAUUGGGACUGAGACACGGCCCAAACUCCUACGGGAGGCAGCAGUGGGGAAUAUUGCACAAUGGGGGAAACCCUGAUGCAGCGACGCCGCGUGAGUGAAGAAGUAUUUCGGUAUGUAAAGCUCUAUCAGCAGGGAAGAAGCAGACGGUACCUGACUAAGAAGCCCCGGCUAACUACGUGCCAGCAGCCGCGGUAAUACGUAGGGGGCAAGCGUUAUCCGGAUUUACUGGGUGUAAAGGGAGCGUAGACGGCUAAGCAAGUCUGAAGUGAAAGCCCGGGGCUUAACCCCGGGACUGCUUUGGAAACUGUUAAGCUAGAGUGCUGGAGAGGUAAGUGGAAUUCCUAGUGUAGCGGUGAAAUGCGUA
rnacentral:rRNA from 1 species